AAUAGUUUCAAUGGUAGUUAUUUUUCUUCAGUGCAAGAACAGAUCGACUAACCUGCGACGACGUCUUCAGGCCAACCCAAAAGAACUUCCGCGACGAACGGCAAACACGGGUCACCGUUAUGCCCCAGUGCCACCCCCACCGCGCCUACCUAUACCCAUUCCAUAACCGAACUGAUCUGAGCGGGGUCCUCCUUAUGCAUACCACAUACUACACCUUGAGUCAACGAAUCGAACGGACAGCGCCUUAAAAUUUUAUUUGGGUUUGGUGGCCGCCCUGUCAACGUUCCAGCAUUGCGUACUUGUUAAAAUAUGUUUUCGAUGAUCGCACACGUGUGCACUGGGAAAAAAACUAUGCUGCCAACUGGCCUUUUAUUACUAGGAUAUUACUCACUAAAAGAAAUAUUUGUUAGGCG
ensembl:ncRNA lncRNA:CR44863 long non-coding RNA:CR44863